rnacentral:rRNA from 1 species
UAGGGAAUCUUCGGCAAUGGACGAAAGUCUGACCGAGCAACGCCGCGUGAGUGAAGAAGGUUUUCGGAUCGUAAAACUCUGUUGUUCGAGAAGAACAAGGACGUUAGUAACUGAACGUCCCCUGACGGUAUCUAACCAGAAAGCCACGGCUAACUACGUGCCAGCAGCCGCGGUAAUACGUAGGUGGCAAGCGUUGUCCGGAUUUAUUGGGCGUAAAGCGAGCGCAGGCGGUUUCUUAAGUCUGAUGUGAAAGCCCCCGGCUCAACCGGGGAGGGUAAUUGGAAACGGGGAGACUUGAGUGCAGAAGAGGGGAGUGGAAUUCCAUGUGGAGCGGUGAAAUGCGUAGAUAUAUGGAGAAACACCAGUGGAGAAGGCGGCUGUCUGGUCUGUAAAUGACGCUGAGGCUCGAAAGCGUGGGGAGCAAACAGG